rnacentral:sRNA from 1 species
AAAUUUAUGAUACAAUAUAAUUUGUAGAAAAGUUAAGACGGUGGCUAUCUUUGAGAGGUGGUGAUGCUUAUGCAAGUACUCACAAAAUCUAUAGAGAGGAGAUGCCUGUUUGUCCGCAUAUGAGACAAUUCAAGUGAUAUUUAGUUUUGGUAUGUUUACCAUUGCUUUGAUUGCUUUAGU